GUAAUAUGGGUCCUCAAAUAUUUAUUCAUCAUUGGCUACUUUCGUAUUUGAGCAUUCCUGAUGAAGAUAAAUCCAGAAAAGCGUUACGAACACACCAACUUUAUUAAGUGUUAUAUGCAUUUUACACAGCCAAAAAUCAUUCAUUCCAUCUAGAAGUUCCAGUCCUAGAAAUAGACAAUGAACGUGUAUGCAGAUUCAACGCCAUAAAAACGUUAUCGUGUCGACUAACCGGUGAUCUGUCAUACAAACUGUUACCCUGGAUCCACAGUGUAAAGGACAAAGUCAUACGGCAGGUAAACUCCAGCAUUAUUGGAAAUAAAGUAACCGCUCAAGUAGGACCUUGCAGUUCUGAAGAUUUUGGAACAUACACUUGUACAGCAUGGAAAGAGAUAAAUGGCCAUAUUACCGAGAUAAAGAAAAUAAUAUUUCUGAAUAUACAAGGAAUACCAGUAUGUAAAGACAGUUUUGUUACUGUUAAGAAUAGAUCAGCUGAGGUUACAGUACAAGUACACAGCUUUCCUUUUAUAAGUAAUAUUAAAUGGUAUAAAUCAACUGAACAAAUAAGAAGUAACCCGUAUAAAUACCAAACGGAAAACAUGUCUUACAUUAAUACAACGACCAUGUUGUAUGGUGUCCAGGUUCCAAUUGAGGGGUAUAAACUACAGCUUAUUAUUUCUGGAAUUGGAAAAGAUGACUUGGACGAAUAUGGAGCAAAAGUCACAAAUGACUUUGGAGAUGUUAUGUGCCAAGCAGAAUUUCGAAUUCCUGGUUUGGAUGACCACAAAUACCUUCUGAAUUGGUGGAUAAUACCGACCAUCUUCAACGUCUUAAUAGUUGUUUUUAUUAUGGUAUGUUUUUAUGCGUAUUAUAAACGACGAGAAAAGGGAACAUUUGAUACCCCGAAAAUUGAAAACAACAUUCCACAAAAAGAAAACAUAGAUGUUAAAAGCUGCCAAAAUAGUUAUGGAACUGUUAACGAAAACAGCUAUGAAACCGUUCACGAAAUCGAUUUUAUUAGUGAAGAAGCACUAUCGGAAGUUGAUCUAACAACAGAAGGAAAUGGGGACAGUGACUAUGAACAAAUUGACACAAGCGACUAUGAACAAGUAGGAAAACUUUGUGAAACAAAAUUAGACGAGAUGAAUAACGUUCCAAUAUAUCUUGACCUUCAGGAAAAUUACAUAUAUCCAGACAAGGAGGAUGCAAAACUGUUAAUGAGACAACAACAUGACACAACAACAAAUGACAACGCAACAGAGAACGUUUCCACUUAUGAUGAAGUAUAUUCCACAGAAUGUGACUUAAGAAUCGUAAGACCAAGAACAUUUUAGAAUAUGAGAACUUUUACAACAGCAAGUAAAAAUCAAAUAAAUAAAUAUUUAAAGAAAGAUGUGAAGGGACUCCAUGACCGAGAGAUAAGAGAGACAUUUCAUUGAUUAAAUUAACAUUUAGUACGCAUGUCAACGCAUAAUAUACAUUCACAAGAAUUACUAUAAAAAUACAUCUGUAUUUAUGAUUUACAUUUAAUUGGAUGUUCACCAACUUGUGUUUUUUUCAUAUUAAUAUUUACGCUCCAAAGUUUUCUGAGUGCUAUUCAGUUACACCAGGAAAGUUCCGAAACCACCCUGAUCUCAGCAAAUCGUAAUAUUUGAAUGGUAACGAUAAAUAAUCAAAUAUGAUUUGCAAUGCAAUGAAAAUGUUAGUUAAUAAUGCUAAAUUUUAACUGGGCUUAUAUAUAGUUGUGUAUAUGUUACACAUGUAAUGUGUCUUGACCUAGAUACACUAUACCAGAACGUGUUAAACCUUCUGACAUAACAAGAAGACUAAGCAAAAUCUAAUCGUGCAAUGUGCGAAUUCUAAAACCCAAAAGAGGACUUUUCAUUCAUGCUCAUUUUCUGAAAGUUACUGCAUCUAACAACACUUUAUAUUAAUGUCGUACGUCUGAAGCGCAUUUUCUGGACUUGCCUUCACAUUUGAAAAAAAUGGAUUUACAAGACCUUAACACACGAAGAGCUAUAUAGUAAAAGGGACCGAAAAAUAGCCGAAUAAGGUCAACUUUGCCUGGAAGGCUUUAGCUGAAACUUUAAACGAUAACAAUUCAUGACUUGAACGGUCUAAAGUUAAGACAUUGAGUAAAUACCAUAGCUUCCACAUUCAGUAAUAGAAAGAGAGAAGAUACUAAAGGUUCAACCAAAAAUAUCGUGUCCAAUAAAAUCAUACCAUCAUAGCUAAUUAGAAAAAUGACGAAAAGAAAAACACCAAUAACAAAAAACUAUACAAAAACUAAAGAUUGAGCCACACGAACCUGACCACAAAUCGGGGGUUCCUGUCCCACUUGUGACACCCGUCGUUUUACUCUUGCUUGUUACAAUACAUUGAUGCCUCAUUUCCAGUGAUAAGCAUCUUUCAAUAGCGGAUUGAUACAUGUCUCAUGUCUAAUCCAUAGACAUCACUUAAUACGAAACAAUCGGUACAUGUGAAUUAUCUAACUGUUACGAUUGUUUAACAACACCGAGAACAAAAGCAAAUUUUAUAUAGAAACACUGAAGAUUUAUGAACAAUAGAAAAUAAAGUUAAAAUAAGGUAAAACAAUGCGGUAAGAUGAUUUCUCUAAUAAUGUGACUUACAAAAAAGUAAUUUAAACAAGGAUUCCAAAUGGUAACAUUGAAGUUAUCCAUUUGCAGGUUUUUCGUACGCCAUCAUGAUAAUAUUGACCAUUAUGGUUACAAGAGCGCAAUUAUUCGUAAUGCAUUUCCCAUAGGGUACCUGUGGUGUUCCAUGUUUUAUUUCUUGAAGACUACACAAAUUAGGAAAAAUGGGUAGCAGUUCCUGUUACUAGAAAUGUCAGUUUUACAUAACAACCAAAAAAAUAUAUAUGGUCAUGCGGUAAAAAUUGACUAAAAUGCAGUUGAAAAACAUCGGCUAUUUUUUCCGCUUAAUGAAAAUGGCAGAUUUUUAAAGGCCAACGUGCAGAUAUUGAAUAUAUUUUCUAUACUUUGUAAAAUGUGAAUUUGAUUUUCUGGAUUUUUAAAACCUAAUUGGAUAAGCUUUCGAUUAAAAGUAAUUCCAAUCCUGUAUUAUCCAAUCAAAAGUCGUACAAGAUUCUAUUCUUAGUACCAUCUUGGGGUUUGGUAAAAGGUAAACCAAUAAUAGCGCUCUUGUAACCUUAUGGAAUAUAUAUGUCCCAUAUUACUUUGGAUUUGUUCCAUUUUUCAUAGCCACCAUCCCGUGCCAUUACCGAAUUCCAUUGAUUACCAAAAUGAGCACCAUGAAGAAUGUCACUAAAGAAAACGGAUCUGCAUACCCUCCCGGGACUUGUUAGGCCGUUAUUUAGCUCGGGCUAUAGUUUUCUGUGUUUUGUAGACUUGAUUUUCUUUUUGUUGUUUUUUUUUUGGCCAUGUUAUUGUUUGUUUUCCUUCGAUUUAUGAUUUUUUGAUUUUCCUUUGGUAUCUUCUGCCUCUUUUUUACACAUAUAAAAAUGAUCUUGAAACAGUUUGAUAUUUUUACACCAGAUAAAUGUACUUUUUUUGUUACAAAAUCGUAUAUCAACUUGUUUUAUUUUGACGUUCUAAUUUCUAUUCACUAGUAUUUCUUGUAAGUAUGGGUAAUAAUGUAACUAUGAGAAAAUGAAUAAACAUAUUUUUCUAGUAGCAACUAACACAAACUGCUUGUACGUUUUUCUCAAUGGAAUGGUAUUCAAGAUGAUAAAGUCAGCAUUUCCGUUAAAAUUAAGAAUUAUGAAAGUAAAACGCUGGUUUUCCAACGAAAAUCAUUCCAUCUUUAACUCAAAUUGAAUACUUGAUGAGAUGUAUGUCAAGCAGGGACCAAAAAAACCAAAGGUACAGCCUAAGGUUAAAUUUAACCGAGGGAUACAUCAAAGGAACACAAGUCUUACUUUAUUCCAAAAUAUAUUUGUUCAAAUACUGAAAAUAAAACUGCAUAUCGAUUUUGGUACACACUCUCUACGACAGCUUUGUUUUAACAUUUUCAAAUGUCACUUUUAAUAAAUAAUUUGUUAAUUAUACGGACAUAUGAUGUAUGCUAAAUUUAUC